rnacentral:rRNA from 1 species
GACGAACGCUGGCGGCGUGCCUAAUACAUGCAAGUGGGACGCAAGGAAACACACUGUGCUUGCACACCGUGUUUUCUUGAGUCGCGAACGGGUGAGUAACGCGUAGGUAACCUGCCUAUUAGCGGGGGAUAACUAUUGGAAACGAUAGCUAAUACCGCAUAAUAUUAAUUAUUGCAUGAUAAUUGAUUGAAAGAUGCAAGCGCAUCACUAGUAGAUGGACCUGCGUUGUAUUAGCUAGUUGGUAAGGUAAGAGCUUACCAAGGCGACGAUACAUAGCCGACCUGAGAGGGUGAUCGGCCACACUGGGACUGAGACACGGCCCAGACUCCUACGGGAGGCAGCAGUAGGGAAUCUUCGGCAAUGGACGAAAGUCUGACCGAGCAACGCCGCGUGAGUGAAGAAGGUUUUCGGAUUCGUAAAGCUUCUGUUGUAAGUC